UACGUGCGGGGCGAACGUUGUUCGGUGUCACUGGGCUUAAAGGGUGCGUAGGUGGUUGUGUAAGUAACGUGUGAAAUCCCUCGGCUUACCCGGGGAAUUGCAUGUUAUACUGCAUGACUUGAGGGCUGAAGGGGAAAAGGGAACUCCAGGUGUAGCGGUGAAAUGCGUAGAGAUGUGGAGGAACACCGAUGGCGAAGGCAGCCCCCUGGGUCAAGAUUGACGCUCAUGCACGAAAGCGUGGGGAGCAAACAGG
rnacentral:rRNA from 1 species